UACGUAGGUGGCAAGCGUUGUCCGGAUUUAUUGGGCUUAAAGGGUGCGUAGGCGGCCCACUAAGUCAGUGCUGAAAUAUCCCGGCUUAACCGGGAGGGUGGCAUUGAUACUGGUGGGCUUGAGUACAGAUGAAGUAGGCGGAAUUGACGGUGUAGCGGUGAAAUGCAUAGAUAUCGUCAAGAACACCGAUAGCGAAGGCAGCUUACUAAGCUGUAACUGACGCUGAGGCACGAAAGUGUGGGGAUCAAACAGG
rnacentral:rRNA from 1 species